rnacentral:lncRNA from 1 species
UCCUUAGAGUUCGAGGCCAGAUCGAUAAUCCCAAUGCCAGAUCCAUGGUUUCUUUCCUUGAAGUAGAACCUCGGUACCGUAUCAGUGUUUGCUUCCCCUGCUGAGUCAUCUCUCGCGGAUCGUGGUUUCCAGAACCACUAUCGCUUUCCCCAACAGCAGGUUUUCAAUGUCGUUCUCUCCCCAGUCAGAAUCUCGACAUUUCAUCAUUGC